rnacentral:rRNA from 1 species
GAUGAACGCUAGCUACAGGCUUAACACAUGCAAGUCGCGGGGUAACAUCUGGUAGAGCUUGCUCUUCCAGGAUGACGACCGGCGCACGGGUGAGUAACGCGUAUCCAACCUGGCCCAUACCACGGGAUAGCCCGUCGAAAGGCGGAUUAAUACCGUAUGCUGUCAUUAAGAGGCAUUUUUUGAUGACGAAAGGAUUGGCGGUAUGGGAUGGGGAUGCGUCUGAUUAGCUUGUUGGCGGGGUAACGGCCCACCAAGGCGACGAUCAGUAGGGGUUCUGAGAGGAAGGUCCCCCACAUUGGAACUGAGACACGGUCCAAACUCCUACGGGAGGCAGCAGUGAGGAAUAUUGGUCAAUGGGCGAGAGCCUGAACCAGCCAAGUAGCGUGCAGGACGACGGCCCUAUGGGUUGUAAACUGCUUUUAUAAGGGAAUAAAGUGAGUCUCGUGAGACUUUUUGUCAUGUACCUUA